rnacentral:lncRNA from 1 species
CAUGUAUUUUUCAUGAGUGUCAGCUGUCCCUGCGAUCACGCUGCUGGCACUUCCAACUUGAUCUGUCUGAAUUUCCUUUGAGUACCGUACCAGGCAGUGCUUCUGGAUGAAGCUUUGCCCAAAGGCACUCCCGUGCUCUAGACUGGGUCGGGAUGCUGGGCCCAGCUGUGAGCUGUGUGUGACAUGAGGAGUCACCCUUGCAAGUUUUGCCCUGCACUCAUCGAGCUCAGCUCCUUCCUGCCUCCCCCGUGCUCGCAGCGCUUCGUGGGUUAGCGCCGCUGUCCGCAGGGGCCUUCCCCGUCCCCUUCCCAGCAACGCAGGAGGGAGGCUGUGCUCACACACCAUCUAAAUCCGGACCAAGAGGUGCAGCUCGCUCGGUGCCCAUCGACAUGGUAACAUCCGUUCUUCAUAUGGUACGUGUGUACGCGAUGGGCAUGCACAGAGGGUCACCACCAGCCCAGCCCUGUCUGCAGCGACCUGAUGAUCUUUGUGUGUUUGAGUGCAUGAACUUCUUCUCAAAAAGAAGGUCCAUGUGGCCCACAAGGUGUGGAGGAAGAAUAUAGAGUAAGCAGCCAUGCAAGGUAGGGUAUCCCCCUCCAUGACUAUGGGGUGGCCAGACCAGGAGAUCAGUACCUGGAGUGGCACUUUCAAACUGCUGUGCCUCAUGUUGGCACUAAUCUCUUUCAUACAUCUGAACUCUCAAAGCCCCUAAGCACCCUUUUUUGUGUAAGUGUGGAUUUAAUCAUCUAACUGAAGUCCCAAAUUUGAAACUUUUGCUGAGGAGCCUGGCUGGUUCAGGAGGACAAUGCCGUCUUAUGUCACACAUUUUUUGGAGGAGAGUGGCACAUUAACAGCCAGCUCAAAAGGAGGGAAUUUCCUUUCCAGGCAGAAUGAGCAGGCAGGUCUGCUGCUAAUCACCACGUCUGUGGUUUAUUUAACUGUAU